rnacentral:rRNA from 1 species
UAUCUCUGUAGAGUCUGCAUAUCAAUAAGCGGAGGAAAAGAAACUAACAAGGAUUCCCUUAGUAACGGCGAGUGAAGCGGGAAGAGCUCAAAUUUGAAAUCUUCAAGGUUCUACCUUGACGAAUUGUAGUUUAAAGAAGUGUUUUCUGUUAGAUGAGUUGCAAAAGUUCCUUGGAAUGGGACAUCAUAGAGGGUGAGAAUCCCGUAUUUGGUUAUUCAUUCUAGCUUUGUGAUACACUUUCAAAGAGUCGGAUUGUUUGGGAAUGCAGUCCAAAAUGGGUGGUAAAUUUCAUCUAAAGCUAAAUAUUGGCGAGAGACCGAUAGCGAACAAGUACCGUGAGGGAAAGAUGAAAAGAACUUUGAAAAGAGAGUUAAACAGUACGUGAAAUUGUCAAAAGGGAAGCGUUUGACACCAGUGUUGUUUUUCCGAAAAUCAAUUACGAAUGGCUUGAUUCUGUGUUGUAUUGACCUUAUCAGCUUUCUUCACUUUUUUCGAGUCUUUCUUAAUGCACUUUUCGGUUAACAAGUCAACAUCAAUUUCUUUUGUUGUAAAAGAGUAUUCGGAAGGUGGCUUUCUUUUCGGAGAAAGUGUUUAUAGCCCUAUACUUCUACAAUCGGAGAGAUUGAGGUCUGCAGCGUAGAUCCUUCGGGGCUAGAUACAUUAGAUGCUAAGUUAUAGCUUUUUAUAGACAACUUGUUGACUAUGAUUCAGUCAUGUAGCUUACUCGCUUAUGCCUAUUUUACCUACGCUUAGGAUGUUGAAGAUGUAGCACAUCAU